AUAAAAACAAGACACCAAAAACUUACAGUAACACACCCAUAUUCCUCUUCUUUCUCAUCUUCCCCACAAAAACAACCUUUCAUAUUACCAUUAAAACUCCAAACAUUCCCACGUGGCACAAUUUCGCUCCCAAACCCUUCUUCACGUAAAUUCUCUUUCCAACACAAUGCAACCUUAACCGUUUCACUAACAUUAGCCCCACCCCCACAGAAUGUUACCAUAGUCCUCGACACAGGGAGUGAACUCUCGUGGCUACACUGUAAAAAGCUUCCAAAUUUAAACUCCAUUUUAACCCCUCUCUUCUAA